rnacentral:rRNA from 1 species
CCUACGGGAGGCAGCAGUGAGGAAUAUUGGUCAAUGGGCGCGAGCCUGAACCAGCCAAGUCGCGUGAAGGAUGACUGCCCUACGGGUUGUAAACUUCUUUUAUAAGGGAAUAAAGUGAGGCACGUGUGCCGUUUUGUAUGUACUUUAUGAAUAAGGAUCGGCUAACUCCGUGCCAGCAGCCGCGGUAAUACGGAGGAUCCGAGCGUUAUCCGGAUUUAUUGGGUUUAAAGGGAGCGUAGGUGGGUUGUUAAGUCAGUUGUGAAAGUUUGCGGCUCAACCGUAGAAUUGCCGUUGAUACUGGGAGGCUUGAGUACAGUUGAGGUAGGCGGAAUGCGUGGUGUAGCGGUGAAAUGCUUAGAUAUCACGAAGAACUCCGAUUGCGAAGGCAGCUUACUAAGCUGCAACUGACGUUGAUGCACGAAAGCGUGGGUAUCAAACAGGAUUAGAUACCCCUGUAGUC